GGUUAGUUCUGAGUGCUUGCUUCUGAGGUCAUUAUUUUGGAGAACCCCAUCUUACAUUUCCUGUGAUCUUUGAAACCUAAUUAGCAGUCUUCCAGAACUGUUGAAAUCGCACCACUGAAUUGACAGAGGUGAAAUUGUUCAGCACCUCAACAAACAGGACAAUUGGAAUCUGUGCAAACCUGAGCCUCUCUUCCUUUUCUGAGGAACAGAUGCUUUAUGACCUGAAUCUCCAGGAUGAAUGUUAACAGGUAUUUCAAGCCCCACUGUGGAAACUUUUCCACAGAUGAGUAACAAAUGUCUCUACCUACAGACAUAAAGCUACUUGGUUAUGGAAGAGAAAGGACUGAACUCGUUGCCAAAACAACUCUUGCUUGUAAAACCUGUGGAAGGGUGGUCUGCGGCAGUAGAUUGGAAACACAGGGAGUAUUUCUGAGGGUUUACUCAGAUAACAGGCUUCUUGAGAAGCCUCAUUUAGUCUACAGAACCUGCAUAGGGAAGCAGGGACCUUUUCUCACUUGCUGCCUUUAGAUCCUUAACAGUACAAACAAUGAUUGUUCUUUGGCUACCUUUCACUAGGACAGAGGAGAAUCAGUUAGGAUCAUGGAUGCUUUAUACAUAUUACAAAACAUGAUCUGGCCAAGGACAACCAGGUUGCUCCAUGCACUAAGAUAACAAAGAAAGAUAUUUCAAAACUGGAUAGAAAUACUUAUGUUUUGCUUACUGUGUAUCAUUCAGUAUUGUGCAAUGUUGAACAACAAUGGUAGAAGGACUAUCUCAAGCACAGAGAAUCUUCACAACAGUAAAAGAACUGCUAAUCUCAUCUGAAAACAUGGGUAUGAUGCUUUCAGAAGUUGGGCUAACACCUUUGUGCCUCACUGCCUGGUGCUACACUGGGGCCUUCUGCUACCUACCAUAUGCCCCUUCCCCUACAGAGCUACAAUGAGUGAAGUAUGGAAUGUGUGUUUGUGUAUGAGGGUAAAAACAUGUCUUUGGCAGGGACCCUCCUGUGACAUUACAUGCAAUUUUAAAAAACAAAGGGUAAAAGAGAGACAUGAAGGAAAAUAUACCCAUUUUAUCCCCCUCCAUUCUCUUAAGAUUUGCAAUUACCAUAUGGGAUCUUGUUUUGCAGGGCUCUGGAUCAGUAUCAAGGAUUUUGUUUCUUCAGUUUUAAGAACUUUUCAUCACUUUUUCCUUCUAGCCUGGAAAUGCAACCUUAAAUACUUUACCAGGGAAUGCUUCUGUGUUUGAAAAAUAAUUUUACUCUGUGCCAGCAUCUGCAAUUGAAAUCAGUGUCAAUCCUGAUUCAGUUCUGACUCCCACAGAGGAAUAUUCAUUUUCACCAGGAAUUAUCUUUGUACAUGUGUACACCUAUGGCAUGGAGCUGAAGAAGGAACAAGGAAUUCUGCACCCUUCUACUAUUUGCUCUUCCUUCUCUGAUUCCUUCCAUAGCCUGUAAGGCACAGAGGCAGAAGAACAUGGUCUACCACAAGGUGUCUUUGUCUCACAGGUAGGGUGGAAAUCACAGCCUUGGAUUACUCAGAUGAAUAUAGAAUAUGAACUAAUUAGUAGGGAGGGGUAAAGAUCUGGUAGAUGACUAUUAUUAUGAUUAUUGUGCAACAGAUAAGCAUGUACAGGACUGCAGUGUGUGGGAAGCCGGAAUACAAAAUCUGCCCUUCUGAGUUAGGCAGCAUUGGGUUAAGCUGAGUAUUCUUCUGCCAGUCAUCUUUAAUGUGUGCUGCAUCUGGAAAAUGUGAGAAACCACAACAACAAACCCACCCAUGUGCAGUUCUUAAGAAGAGAGUUGAAGGUGAAACUCCUUCCUGAUCUCCAAGUGAGGAAUGAAAUUUAUCUUCAUUUCUUCUGUCUCAGCAAGUAUUGUGAUAUGAAACAAUCUACUUCAAAUUCUAUGCUUAACUAAGGUAUACUCUUCAUGCCCUAGUGUUUCUCCUCCUCCAACAGUUACUUGGUGUAAAGCUGAUUUUUUUUAUUUGCAUGAAUUCUAUAUUUAAAAAUAUGUAUCUCACAAAACCAAACAAGUGAACAAAGUGUUCAAACAGGUUUCUGAUUCAUGAGCCUUGCUGGAUUUGGAUGUGAUCCCUAAAGAUGGUACUGCCCACGGCUGUCCUGUGUACUUAUGAACUAGCAGUUGCCAAAUCCAUCUUAGAAGAGCAGAACAAGUAGUAUCUACCUGCUAGUUACAUUCCCUGGUCAGUAUAUUAACAAAACUCAGACUGUUUGCAUUAGUCCCUUGGCUUCCAGCGAAGGGAUGGACACAUUACAUUGUCCAUUCUACUAUUCCUGCUGUAGUUUCAGUGUCUUGCAACAGAGUGUAGAUGAGUGUGGUACUAUCUCCGCAUGGCUCCUACGUCAGCAACUUGAUGCCUGUGGUUCUUCCUUCCCCUUUCUCUCUUUUUGAAUUCCCACUUGAUAAUUUGUAGAGGUGUUUGUGAACCUUUAAGCUACUUCAGUGGCAGCACAUUAUAGCCUGAAGUUUUGCAUUCACACAAAUUACACAGAGAAAAUUCUGCGUGACCUCGUAGCAUUGCA
ensembl:lncRNA